UACGAAGGGGGCUAGCGUUGCUCGGAAUUACUGGGCGUAAAGGGCGCGUAGGCGGACAGUUUAGUCAGAGGUGAAAGCCCAGGGCUCAACCUUGGAAUUGCCUUUGAUACUGGCUGUCUUGAGUUCGGGAGAGGUGAGUGGAAUGCCGAGUGUAGAGGUGAAAUUCGUAGAUAUUCGGCGGAACACCAGUGGCGAAGGCGACUCACUGGCCCGUUACUGACGCUGAGGCGCGAAAGCGUGGGGAGCAAACAGG
rnacentral:rRNA from 1 species